UACGUAGGGUCCGAGCGUUGUCCGGAAUUACUGGGCGUAAAGCGCGCGUAGGCGGCUUUGCAAGUCGAGUGUGAAAUCCCCAGGCUUAACCUGGGAACUGCAUUCGAGACUGCAUAGCUAGAGUAUGGGAGAGGGAAGUGGAAUUUCAGGUGUAGCGGUGAAAUGCGUAGAUAUCUGAAGGAAGACCGGUGGCGAAGGCGGCCUGCUGGGCAGUUACUGACACUGAGGCGCGACAGCGUGGGGAGCAAACAGG
rnacentral:rRNA from 1 species